ACAAGUACCCGUGAGGGAAAGUUGAAAAGAACUUAGAGGUGAGAGUUCAACAGGGCGUAAAACCGCUUAGAAGUAAACGGAUGGUGCUGACAUUGUUCCUGUCGGAUUCAGCCGGUCUGAUGGUUGAUCGUUUGUUCGCAGAUCGCAAGACUGCGGGCAGAGUGUACUCGACCUAGGAUUGGUGCAUUUUCGGCAGGAUGCAUCAUGACCGUUGACGACGCUGGCAUAAGGCUGGUCGGGAGCCGGCUGUAGGUCUUCGGGCUUGCAGUGACCCCCCUUCCAUGUCCUGUCCGGGUUGGCGUCAACGGAUAACUGAACGUGCCCGAUUCUCUCAUCUAGUGCUUUCACUGGGUCGAAUGAAAGGUCUUGCUGUGCUUGCACGGUAGGGCAACCCUCGGCUCUCUGACUGUGCUGGUAUGAGUUGGCACUGAAGGUCUAUGGUGUCCGCGUCAGUCUCCCAUCCGACCCGUCUUGAAACACGGACCAAGGAGUCUAACAUGUGCGCAAGUCAUGGGGUGUAAAACCCAAAGGCGUAAUGAAAGUAAAGGCCGCAAGGCUGAGGUGUGAUGUCUGGUUUAACUGGACCGCAACACCGUCCCAUCGCAUCGGCUUGUCCGAGCGGUGGAGAAAGAGCGUACACGUUGGGACCCGAAAGAUGGUGAACUAUGCCUGAGCAGGAUGAAGCCAGAGGAAACUCUGGUGGAGGUCCGUAGCGGUUCUGACGUGCAAAUCGAUCGUCAGACUUGGGUAUAGGGGCGAAAGACUAAUCGAACCAUCUAGUAGCUGGUUCCUUCCGA
rnacentral:rRNA from 1 species